rnacentral:pre_miRNA from 14 species
UGUGUAUUGCUGUAAGAUAUGUUUGAUAUUCUUGGUUGUCGUUUUGUAGCACCCAGGAGUCAAACAUAUUAUUAUAGCGGUACACG